rnacentral:rRNA from 1 species
UUUAACUGAGCGUUCAGUUACUUGACGUAGACCCGAAACCGGGCGACCUACCCAUGAGCAGGAUGAAGCGAAAGUAAAAUUUCGUGGAGGUCCGAACCCACGAGCGUUGAAAAGCUCGGGGAUGACUUGUGGGUAGCGGUGAAAUUCCAAUCGAGCCCGGAGAUAGCUGGUUCUCCCCGAAAUAGCUUUAGGGCUAGCCUCAAGGUGAGAGAUACGGAGGUAGAGCACUGAAUGUCCUAGGGGGUAUUGCACCUACCGAAGACUAUCAAACUCCGAAUGCCGUCAUCUUAUACUUGGGAGUCAGACUGUGGGUGAUAAGAUUCAUAGUCGAAAGGGCAACAGCCCAGAUCGUCAGCUAAGGUCCCUAAAUGUAAGUUAAGUGGUAAAGGAUGUGGGAUUGCACAGACAACCAGGAUGUUGGCUUAGAAGCAGCCACUCAUUCAAAGAGUGCGUAAUAGCUCACUGGUCGAGUGAUCCUGCGCCGAAGAUUUCCGGGGCUAAAACUUACUACCGAAGCUACGGCAUCAGUAAUGAUGGGUAGGGGAGCUUCCCAUACGGGUUGAAGCAUGACCGUAAGGACAUGUGGACAGUAUGGGAGUGAGAAUGUUGGCAUGAGUAGCGAGAUGUUGGUGGGAAUCCCACAGGCCGUAAACCCAAGGUUUCCAGGGGAAGGUUCGUCCACCCUGGGUUAGUCGGGACCUAAGCUGAGGCCGAAAGGCGUAGGUGAUGGACAACAGGUUGAUAUUCCUGUACUACCGAUAACCGUUUGAGAGAAGGGAUGACACAGUAGGAUAAGCUAAGCACACUGUUGGUUAUGUGUGCCCAAGCAUUGAGGCAGUCAAAGUAGGCAAA